rnacentral:rRNA from 1 species
ACUCCUACGGGGAGGCAGCAGUGGGGGAAUAUUGCACAAUGGGGGGAAACCCUGAUGCAGCCAUGCCGCGUGUGUGAAGAAGGCCUUCGGUUGUAAAGCACUUUCAGUAGGGAGGAAGGUAGUGUAGUUAACACCUGCAUUAUUUGUACGUUACCUACAGAAGAAGCACCGGCUAACUCCGUGCCAGCAGCCGCGGUAAUACGGAGGGUGCGAGCGUUAAUCGGAAUUACUGGGCGUAAAGCGCAUGCAGGCGGCCUGUUAAGUCAGAUGUGAAAGCCCGGGGCGUUAACCUCGGAAUUGCAUUUGAAACUGGCAGGCUAGAGUCUGUAGAGGGGUUAGAAUUUCAGGUGUAGCGGUGAAAUGCGUAGAGAUCUGAAGGAAUACCGAGUGGCGAA